rnacentral:rRNA from 1 species
GAUCCCUGGCUCAGGAUGAACGCUGGCGGCGUGCCUAAUACAUGCAAGUCGAGCGAAUGGAUUAAGAGCUUGCUCUUAUGAAGUUAGCGGCGGACGGGUGAGUAACACGUGGGUAACCUACCCAUAAGACUGGGAUAACUCCGGGAAACCGGGGCUAAUACCGGAUAAUAUUUUGAACUGCAUAGUUCGAAAUUGAAAGGCGGCUUCGGCUGUCACUUAUGGAUGGACCCGCGUCGCAUUAGCUAGUUGGUGAGGUAACGGCUCACCAAGGCGACGAUGCGUAGCCGACCUGAGAGGGUGAUCGGCCACACUGGGACUGAGACACGGCCCAGACUCCUACGGGAGGCAGCAGUAGGGAAUCUUCCGCAAUGGACGAAAGUCUGACGGAGCAACGCCGCGUGAGUGAUGAAGGCUUUCGGGUCGUAAAACUCUGUUGUUAGGGAAGAACAAGUGCUAGUUGAAUAAGCUGGCACCUUGACGGUACCUAACCAGAAAGCCACGGC